rnacentral:lncRNA from 1 species
GACUCACCGCGGAGGCGCCCGGACGCGUCAAGUGCGUACUUUCAACCGUAAAUGGGUGCUGAGCGUUUAGGGGUGCGGGGCAACUCCCUAACUCGUGGGGCCCUGGCCGGCCCUGCCGCGGCGUCCGAGACCUUCUGAUCCCUCGCUGCGCGCGGCGCGGGGUUGGCGACUUGGGCUCAGGGGCGGCGGGGCGGGGAGGUGCCUUGACCUAGGGACCCAGAGGCCGGGAGCAAGUCUCCUUUCGCCUUGGACUGCAGUGUCCCCCAGGGCAAGGCCUGAACCAGGUCGCGAGGGUCUGUCUCCCGUCUGGGGAGCUGAACUGCCCGAGACACUGUCGCAGUCGCGGGGACUUGUCUGGAGCGGCGGGGUCUGAGCCCAAGUCGGAAGCCGCCGCCGCCGCCAGCGUCCCGUGCGCCUGCCGCCCCGGGACCAGCCGCGAAACUUCUUCUCGGGACGGAGACAGCGCUCGCCGCCCGGGCCGAGGCCCAGCCCAAUAGGAAGCACCUGAUCCACACUCUUUCUAGCCCCAGGGAUGCUCAGGAAAGCAGCCUUUCUUUAGGGCUGUCAUCUGUUCUGGGGAUCUGUUGCUGUUUCUUGGGCCCACAGAAUACACUCCACACCUCGGGACUCCAUAAUAUUGGACAAGGCUGGAAGGCCCAUUUGGCUCCUGCAGCCUCUUAUGCAGGAGGACCUCCUGAGGCUUCGGGCAGGAGCUGGUGCACACCUGGAGGAGAGUGCUGGUGAAUGGCAGGUGUGUGCCUCAGUGUCCUUGCUGCCAGGGUGUCAGCCCUGCUUCACCACUGGCCGUUUGUCUCUGUCCCCUCCACUGGCCUCUUGAAGCACAGAGACCCUCCGGGUACUUUCCUUCCUCUGGGCUUCCACUCAUGCUAUUCCCUGCUCCCUUUUUCUACCUGGAGACCCCCAUUCCUCCUCCUCCUCUGCUGCCCUCACCUCCACCUGGGCCCUCCCAGCUCCCGGGAGAUGGCUGAACCCCACUCCCCACCCGCUAGUCAUCCUCUUCAGCGGUCCUCCCAGAGCUGUCCUCAGCAUGGCAGCCUCCACAGCCCCUGGGUGUCACCCCCGGUUUCGUGUCUGCCUCGGACUCCAGACCUGCCCCUCCCAGGCUGGCCCAGAUGGAUCCUCUACAGUGACUAACCCAAACCAGCACCAGGCAGGGACCCAAUAAACCUUUGUGAAUGGA